rnacentral:lncRNA from 1 species
AGUGAAUAAAUCUCACGAGAUCUGAUGGGUUUAUCACGAGUUUCUGCUUUUGCUGCUUCUUCAUUUUCCUCCUGCUGUCACCAUAUAAGAAGUGCCUUUCGCCUCUCGCCAUGAUUCUGAGGCCUCCCCAGCCAUGUGGAACUGAAUUGGAGGAACCUUGUCCAGGGACAGCACAGACUUAUCAUAACAGAGGAGAAGUGGAAAUGAGAAAAAUGUGUAGCUAUCAGGGCAUGAGAGUCAUUCCUCAUCAAAACUCAUUUUGCUUUUGAUCCCUGAGGAAAAGGGAGAUACUGAAUUGGUUCAUGGGGAAGUUGGUCAAAUUCCAAAGAUGGUAAGCCUGUGUGUUUUCCCAUGCCAUCUUGUUUCUUUUUCGUAUAGUCUCUACUAGUUUUCUAAAUCUUCAGAAUGACAUAAGAUUUCUAAUAUCAACUUAGGUACAGCCUCCCAGGGACUGGUAAGUAAGUUGGAUAUAUUCAGUAGCUUAUUAACAUCAUUGGAUUAUCCAAAAUAAAUUUAAAAACAGA